CAUUCUAAAACAAGUCAUUUUGUUUGUAAAAAACGUGCUUUGAAAUAUUCAAACCUGUAAACUUUUGCAGUUCAGUGCUAUGUUAUGUUAUUUAAAAUAUUAGAACAGUGGUUUCGUUGGGAUA